UCCUGUAACUGCUAAAAAAAUUCCCUCAAAUCCUUCUUGCUACCUCAGGUUUCCUCUUUCUUCUUCUCCAUUUUCCAUUUUGUUCUCCAGUGCCUUCACAGCUGAACAUUUGCUUCUCCAUUUUCCAGUUUCCAUCUUGUCUGUUUUCACAGUUCAGGACCGUCUUCUCUCCACUGCAGUUUUUGACUUGCACUCCUUUUUCGCGAUUCGUUAGGGAGUGUACGACGGUAUCCUUCGUCGUUGGUCCCUCACCGGUUUUUAUGUGUCUGAUAGAGUUUGUUCCACCAUUGUGCAAAAGAAGCAAAAGAAGGUUCUAUACCAAGAAAACAGCUUGAGAAGCAUAAAAGAACUCCAUGUGAAUGGAUUUGAGUUCGUCCCUAAAAAAUUUCAUUGAGCAGCUUGUAAUUUUCUUUUCUUGUAGAGUCAUGUGCAAUUUGCCUCUUGUGGAUCGAGGAAGCAAACACUUAGUGAAUGGGAAAAACAUACAGGUUGCAGAGCGAAAAGAUGGAAACAUAGUGUGAAAGUGAAAAGUACAAUGCUACCUCUGGAAAAAUGGUUGGCUGAACACAUUCCAUUAGAGGGAGUGUUAGGAAGUGGAAAGUUUAUGAAAGGAGGAAAAAGAAGCGUACCGAACGGUAAGGGACCAAACGAUAAGGGAGGAAGGUGUGAAGGACCGAACGGUAUCUACACUAAUAUCGAACGGUGGGAGGAAAGGGUGAAGGACUGAGCGGUAUCUACACUAAUACCGAAUGGUGGGAGGAAGGAGUGAAUGACCGAACGAUAUCUACACUAAUACCGAACGGUGGGAGGAAGGAGUGAAUGACCGAACGGUAUCUACACUUUUGGUUACUUUGUGUGGUGUAGGUUCUCUUUGUGAGGUGAUCCAAUAUCUUAGAGGUAGCCUUCUAGGCGGUGGAGACCCAAAGGGAACUUGAAGUCUAGAGUGGUAGCCAAAAAGAAAGGAGAGAAACACCUUGGGAGGAAGCUUUGAUUUGUUUGUAAUUUUUUGGUUUUGUAAUUUUUUUUUUCUCUUGUAACUCACAACCUUGUUAGGUGUCUUAGGGGAGUCUUUGGUGCCCAAUCCCAUCUCCUAACAAAGAACCUUUAUUUCAUAGUAAUUUUUGUUUUUUUAGUUGGUUGGUUGGAGGAACCAAAGUUCUUCUAACGUAAUCAUUAGGCCUCAUAGCUAGUUUAUUUGCUUUCUUUAAUUAUGAUAGCUUAGUGUGUCAACUUUAAUUUCAACUUUAGUUCCCUUUGAGAAAUCUGGUUUAAGAGUGGCUAAGGUAAACUUUGGCUAGGAAAUGUUUGGUAUUUAAGAAAUCCAUUCUGA